GGUUGUAUAGUGUAGUGGUUAUCACUCCAGAUUUUGAUUACAUCAAGAUUUCUGGUAACCCCGGUUCGAACCCGGGUACGACCU
rnacentral:tRNA from 1 species